CGCGUUUAUCUCGUUUUAUUGAGUCUUAAACACUACACAGGCCUAAAUGUUAAAAAUGACUGAUAAAAAAAUAAAAUAAGCUAGCCUUGUGUAAAAUAUUUCCUAGAUACCAGGAUAAAGCGCCUGGCUUCCACUUGAUUGCAGUCAUAACCAACAAGUCUGCUGUUGGUUUGCUACAACUUGUAUAGUCAUCGUCACUAAGUCUGGAUCAAUCUUGUCUUUUGUGUAUUGUAUGCAGGGGCGUAGGAACCGGGGGGGGGGGACAUGGGGCACGUGCCCCCCAAAUUUUUUCAAAGGAUGAGAAGUGCCCUUUUUUGUGAUGAAAAGUGCCCUUUUUGUACAAGCAAAUGUCACUGUAAAUACUAAAUUAACAGGCAAAGG